GAUGAACGCUGGCGGCGUGCCUAAUACAUGCAAGUCGAGCGAACGGACGAGAAGCUUGCUUCUCUGAUGUUAGCGGCGGACGGGUGAGUAACACGUGGAUAACCUACCUAUAAGACUGGGAUAACUUCGGGAAACCGGAGCUAAUACCGGAUAAUAUUUUGAACCGCAUGGUUCAAAAGUAAAAGACGGUCUUGCUGUCACUUAUAGAUGGAUCCGCGCUGCAUUAGCUAGUUGGUAAGGUAACGGCUUACCAAGGCAACGAUGCAUAGCCGACCUGAGAGGGUGAUCGGCCACACUGGAACUGAGACACAGUCCAGACUCCUACGGGAGGCAGCAGUAGGGAAUCUUCCGCAAUGGGCGAAAGCCUGGCGGAGCAACGCCGCGUGAGUGAUGAAGGUCUUCGGAUCGUAAAACUCUGUUAUUAGGGAAGAACAUAUGUGUAAGUAACUGUGCACAUCUUGACGGUACCUAAUCAGAAAGCCACGGCUAACUACGUGCCAGCAGCCGCGGUAAUACGUAGGUGGCAAGCGUUAUCCGGAAUUAUUGGGCGUAAAGCGCGCGUAGGCGGUUUUUUAAGUCUGAUGUGAAAGCCCACGGCUCAACCGUGGAGGGUCAUUGGAAACUGGAAAACUUGAGUGCAGAAGAGGAAAGUGGAAUUCCAUGUGUAGCGGUGAAAUGCGCAGAGAUAUGGAGGAACACCAGUGGCGAAGGCGACUUUCUGGUCUGUAACUGACGCUGAUGUGCGAAAGCGUGGGGAUCAAACAGGAUUAGAUACCCUGGUAGUCCACGCCGUAAACGAUGAGUGCUAAGUGUUAGGGGGUUUCCGCCCCUUAGUGCUGCAGCUAACGCAUUAAGCACUCCGCCUGGGGAGUACGACCGCAAGGUUGAAACUCAAAGGAAUUGACGGGGACCCGCACAAGCGGUGGAGCAUGUGGUUUAAUUCGAAGCAACGCGAAGAACCUUACCAAAUCUUGACAUCCUUUGACAACUCUAGAGAUAGAGCCUUCCCCUUCGGGGGACAAAGUGACAGGUGGUGCAUGGUUGUCGUCAGCUCGUGUCGUGAGAUGUUGGGUUAAGUCCCGCAACGAGCGCAACCCUUAAGCUUAGUUGCCAUCAUUAAGUUGGGCACUCUAAGUUGACUGCCGGUGACAAACCGGAGGAAGGUGGGGAUGACGUCAAAUCAUCAUGCCCCUUAUGAUUUGGGCUACACACGUGCUACAAUGGACAAUACAAAGGGCAGCGAAACCGCGAGGUCAAGCAAAUCCCAUAAAGUUGUUCUCAGUUCGGAUUGUAGUCUGCAACUCGACUACAUGAAGCUGGAAUCGCUAGUAAUCGUAGAUCAGCAUGCUACGGUGAAUACGUUCCCGGGUCU
rnacentral:rRNA from 1 species